ACUGAACAACAGUGCACACAGCGUUUUAUGAGAACUCGGUCCAGUCUCAUUCAUGUCUUCCAGCUCAAGGAGAUGGUAGCAUCAUGUUUCUAAUGCAAAGGCCCCUUCGCAGAAUGGCUAUCUAUGUGGAUAGGCUUACGUGAUUCUGGAGGCCAAGAAGUCCCAUGAUCUGCUGUCUUCCAGCUGAAAACCCAGGAAAGCUGGUGGUAUAAUUCAGUCUGAAUCCAAAGGCCUGAGAAUCAAGAGCGCCGAUGUCUGAGGGCUAGGGAAGAUGGAUGUCCCAGCUCAAAAGAGAGCAAAUUCACCCUUCCUCUGCCUUUUUGUUCCAUUCAGGGCCCCAGUGGAUUGCGGGAUACCCACCCGCACUGACACCUUUGGAGUAGAGAUUAUUGGACAAGGAGAGAAGCAAGCUGGCCAAAGCUCAGUGGCGGAGUGAACACGAAGGAACUGAACAAAGUUAAGAGUUGGCUGGGGACGAAGCAGAGAAUAUGGGCACUGUCAUAUCACAAGCCACAUCUGACCAGAUUCAGAUGAAUCCCCAGGCAGGCGCUAGAGUAAAGCAUAACUGCCAUCAUGUAUUUGCCCCAGUGUCCCUCUACUGUGUUCCUAGAGCAGGUGUCAGUGAUGUAAUAAGGUGGAAGGAGCGGCUACUUCUGAAUCAGAACACUUCUGGGGCCCCUGGGUGGCUCAGUCGGUUGGGCGUCCCGCUUCCGCUCAGGUCACGUUCUCACGGUUCACGGUUCGAGCCCCUGGUGGGCUCUGGGCUGACAGCUCAGAGCCUGGAGGCUGCUUCUGAUUCUGUGUCUCCCUCUUUCUGGCCCUCCCCCGCUCACGCUCUCACUCGCUCUCUCAAGAAUAAACAAUAAAAAGAAAAAAAGAAAAAAAAAAAAAAAAGAACACUUCUGACUCCAGGCCAGCCUCAUCUUGUCUCCAUAUUGUCUUUCUCAAACGUUAAUAAACAAAACAAACAAACAAACAAAACCACUUAUUAUGGAUGUAAUACAUACUCAUUGCUGGGAAAUACAGAUCAGCAGGAGAGAAGAAAAUAAAAGUGAUCUAUAAUCACCUCAUCUCAGAAAAAACAAAAACAAAAAAAACAAC